AGCGAACGCUGGCGGCAGGCCUAACACAUGCAAGUCGAGCGCCGUAGCAAUACGGAGCGGCAGACGGGUGAGUAACGCGUGGGAACGUGCCCUUUAGUUCGGAAUAACCCAGGGAAACUUGGGCUAAUACCGGAUACGCCCUUCGGGGGAAAGAUUUAUCGCUAAAGGAUCGGCCCGCGUAAGAUUAGCUAGUUGGUGAGGUAACGGCUCACCAAGGCUAUGAUCUUUAGCUGUUCUGAGAGGAAGAUCAGCCACACUGGGACUGAGACACGGCCCAGACUCCUACGGGAGGCAGCAGUGGGGAAUAUUGGACAAUGGGCGCAAGCCUGAUCCAGCCAUGCCGCGUGAGUGAUGAAGGCCUUAGGGUUGUAAAGCUCUUUUACCAGGGAAGAUAAUGACGGUACCUGGAGAAUAAGCCCCGGCUAACUUCGUGCCAGCCGCCGCAGUAAUAC
rnacentral:rRNA from 1 species